rnacentral:rRNA from 1 species
UACGUAGGGGGCGAGCGUUAUCCGGAAUUAUUGGGCGUAAAGAGCUCGUAGGCGGUUUGUCGCGUCGACUGUGAAAACCUACAGCUUAACUGUGGGCUUGCAGUCGAUACGGGCAGACUUGAGUUCGGUAGGGGAGACUGGAAUUCCUGGUGUAGCGGUGAAAUGCGCAGAUAUCAGGAGGAACACCGGUGGCGAAGGCGGGUCUCUGGGCCGAUACUGACGCUGAGGAGCGAAAGCGUGGGGAGCGAACAGG